UACGUAGGGGGCAAGCGUUGUCCGGAUUUAUUGGGCGUAAAGAGCGCGUAGGCGGCUCGGUAAGCCGGAUGUGAAACCUCCAAGCUCAACUUGGAGCGGCCAUUCGGAACUGCUGUGGCUAGAGUCUGGUAGGGGAACACGGAAUUCCUGGUGUAGCGGUGAAAUGCUUAGAUAUCAGGAGGAACGACCAGUGGCGAAGGCGGUGUU
rnacentral:rRNA from 1 species